ensembl:lncRNA
GUCAAAUAUGGUGACAGUUUUUUGAUGUGGACACCUGUCCCACAGACUGAGACCAUCUGCUUUGUUUUCCCAUCUACAAGAAGCAGGAUACGUAUCCUUCAGCCUAGCUAAGGAAUGUAGUUCGGAUGCAGAAAAAUUGCAAAGGAAGGACAAGUGCCAGGUCCCUGGUCAAGCAGAGGGUAAGCAGAGGAGUAACGCUGCGGUUUCCCUGCCUGAGCUGAUUUACUGCGCUGGUAAGUCUGUCACUAAUAAUAGAG